rnacentral:rRNA from 1 species
UACGUAGGGUGCGAGCGUUAAUCGGAAUUACUGGGCGUAAAGCGCGCGUAGGCGGCUUUGCAAGUCGAGUGUGAAAUCCCCAGGCUUAACCUGGGAACUGCAUUUGUGACUGGCGGGCUAGAGUAUGGCAGAGGGGGGUAGAAUUCCGACGUGUAGCAGUGAAAUGCGUAGAGAUGUGGAGGAAUACCGAUGGCGAAAGCAGGUACCUGGACCAUUACUGACACUCAGCUGCGAAAGCUAGGGGAGCAAACAGG